rnacentral:misc_RNA from 1 species
AUGCAGGACGCUAUGGGCUAUGAGUUACCCUGGGUGUAUUUUGUCAGUCUGGUCAUCUUUGGAUCCUUUUUCGUUCUAAAUCUGGUUCUCGGUGUGUUGAGCGGAGAGUUUUCCAAAGAGAGGGAGAAGGCCAAGGCCCGGGGAGAUUUCCAGAAGCUGCGGGAGAAGCAGCAGCUAGAAGAGGAUCUCAAAGGCUACCUGGAUUGGAUCACUCAGGCCGAAGACAUCGAUCCUGAGAAUGAGGACGAAGGCAUGGAUGAGGAGAAGCCCCGAAACAUGAGCAUGCCCACCAGUGAGACCGAGUCCGUCAACACCGAAAACGUGGCUGGAGGUGACAUCGAGGGAGAAAACUGCGGGGCCAGGCUGGCUAAGGGAAGCAGAAGUGCAGUGGAGCCUGCUGUUCUGUUGCCUUGGGGUGUCACGACUGUAAACUCACCCUGGCCUCUGGAAGAACUGCAAACAGAGGCUCUGAGUCAGACCACCACCGGAUCUCCAAGUCAAAGUUCAGCCGCUACUGGCGCCGGUGGAAUCGGUUCUGCAGAAGGAAGUGCCGCGCCGCAGUCAAGUCUAAUGUCUUCUACUGGCUGGUGAUUUUCCUGGUGUUCCUCAACACGCUCACCAUUGCCUCUGAGCACUACAACCAGCCCAACUGGCUCACAGAAGUCCAAG